rnacentral:rRNA from 1 species
CCUACGGGAGGCAGCAGUGAGGAAUAUUGGACAAUGGGCGGGAGCCUGAUCCAGCCAUGCCGCGUGCAGGAAGACUGCCCUAUGGGUUGUAAACUGCUUUUGUACGGGAAGAAACACCUCUACGUGUAGGGGCUUGACGGUACCGUAAGAAUAAGGAUCGGCUAACUCCGUGCCAGCAGCCGCGGUAAUACGGAGGAUCCGAGCGUUAUCCGGAAUCAUUGGGUUUAAAGGGUCCGUAGGUGGAUGGUUAAGUCAGAGGUGAAAUCCUGCAGCUCAACUGUAGAAUUGCCUUUGAUACUGGCUAUCUUGAAUCGAUGUGAAGUGGUUAGAAUAUGUAGUGUAGCGGUGAAAUGCAUAGAUAUUACAUAGAAUACCGAUUGCGAAGGCAGAUCACUAACAUUGUAUUGACACUGAUGGACGAAAGCGUGGGGAGCGAACAGGAUUAGAUACCCUGGUAGUCCACGCCGUAAACGAUGGAUACUAGCUGUUGGGCCUCGGCUCAGUGGCUAAGCGAAAGUGAUAAGUAUCCCACCUGGGGAGUACGUUCGCAAGAAUGAAACUCAAAGGAAUUGACGGA